rnacentral:rRNA from 1 species
CUUGAAAAAGGGAGUUCAAGAAGAGCUUCGAAGAAGCUUUCUUGAUGGAGGGGAGUGGCAGACGGGUGAGUAACGCGUGGGAACAUACCCUUAUCUUCGGAACAACUCCGGGAAACUGGAGCUAAUACCGAAUGUGCCCUUAGGGGGAAAGAUUUAUCGGAUAAAGAUUGGCCCGCGUUGGAUUAGCUUGUUGGUGGGGUAAAGGCCUACCAAGGCGACGAUCCAUAGCUGGUCUGAGAGGAUGAUCAGCCACAUUGGGACUGAGACACGGACCAGACUCCUGCGGGAGGCAGCAGUGGGGAAUAUUGGACAAUGGGCGCAAGCCUGAUCCAGCCAUGCCGCGUGAGUGAUGAAGGCCUUAGGGUUGUAAAGCUCUUUCACCGGAGAAGAUAAUGACGGUAUCCGGAGAAGAAGCCCCGGCUAACUUCGUGCCAGCCGCCGCCGUAA